GUUGGGUAUCGUCGUAUACAACAUGGUUGCUGCGUCAUGGGACUUUGAUGGUAUGACAUACUUUUAUAGUCGACAUGACCCAUUCACUGAAGGAGGGAUGAUGUAAUCUGUUACUUGGAAGUGGUGGCUACAAAUACGGCUAGUACUGGUUGCCCUCCAUGGUUCUUUAAGUAUAUUGGGCCUAUUGGCUUCUUGAACAAAAUGCUCCCACUCACCCACUGCUCUAAGGCAGGCUUAUCUUUCAUUGGAAAUCUAUAAUAGUUACAACAUACAUAUAUUGUGAGCAGCCAAUUUGGCUUUAUUGGUACUGUAGUACUGAAAAAAUGACUCUUACAUGGUUUGUGCUGUGGUUUUCAACAUGUAAGGGUUACACUUAAGUCCCACACAGACGAGUAAUUUUUCCUUGACACAUUUUAUUUGCUUGUGUGUAUGCGAAAAAAAUGACAAGUUUUCCUUGACAAGGAGACUGGUUCAAAA